rnacentral:rRNA from 1 species
AUUGAACGCUGGCGGCAUGCCUUACACAUGCAAGUCGAACGGUAACAGGUUAAGCUGACGAGUGGCGAACGGGUGAGUAAUAUAUCGGAACGUGCCCAGUCGUGGGGGAUAACUGCUCGAAAGAGCAGCUAAUACCGCAUACGACCUGAGGGUGAAAGCGGGGGAUCGCAAGACCUCGCGCGAUUGGAGCGGCCGAUAUCAGAUUAGGUAGUUGGUGGGGUAAAGGCCCACCAAGCCAACGAUCUGUAGCUGGUCUGAGAGGACGACCAGCCACACUGGGACUGAGACACGGCCCAGACUCCUACGGGAGGCAGCAGUGGGGAAUUUUGGACAAUGGGCGCAAGCCUGAUCCAGCCAUGCCGCGUGCGGGAAGAAGGCCUUCGGGUUGUAAACCGCUUUUGUCAGGGAAGAAAAGGCUUCUGCUAAUACCGGAGGCUCAUGACGGUACCUGAAGAAUAAGCACCGGCUAACUACGUGCCAGCCGCCGCAGUAACAC